GUUAGCGGCGGACGGGUGAGUAACACGUGGGCAACCUACCUUAUAGUUUGGGAUAACUCCGGGAAACCGGGGCUAAUACCGAAUAAUCUGUUUCACCUCAUGGUGAAACACUGAAAGACGGUUUCGGCUGUCGCUAUAGGAUGGGCCCGCGGCGCAUUAGCUAGUUGGUGAGGUAACGGCUCACCAAGGCGACGAUGCGUAGCCGACCUGAGAGGGUGAUCGGCCACACUGGGACUGAGACACGGCCCAGACUCCUACGGGAGGCAGCAGUAGGGAAUCUUCCACAAUGGGCGAAAGCCUGAUGGAGCAACGCCGCGUGAGUGAAGAAGGAUUUCGGUUCGUAAAACUCUGUUGUAAGGGAAGAACAAGUACAGUAGUAACUGGCUGUACCUUGACGGUACCUUAUUAGAAAGCCACGGCUAACUACGUGCCAGCAGCCGCGGUAAUACGUAGGUGGCAAGCGUUGUCCGGAAUUAUUGGGCGUAAAGCGCGCGCAGGUGGUUUCUUAAGUCUGAUGUGAAAGCCCACGGCUCAACCGUGGAGGGUCAUUGGAAACUGGGAGACUUGAGUGCAGAAGAGGAUAGUGGAAUUCCAAGUGUAGCGGUGAAAUGCGUAGAGAUUUGGAGGAACACCAGUGGCGAAGGCGACUAUCUGGUCUGU
rnacentral:rRNA from 1 species